ensembl:snRNA U6 U6 spliceosomal RNA
GUGCUCGCUUUGGCAGCCCAUAUACUAAAAUUGGGACAAUAUAGAGAAGGAUGGCAUGGCCUCUGUGCAAGGAUGACAAGCAAAUUCAUGAAGCAUUCCAUAUAAAA